rnacentral:misc_RNA from 1 species
GAGCCUGCAUGAUGGCUUUCUUCAACUCAGUUGGCACUCGUUCAUCUAGUAAGAAAACAAGGCCAGGAGAUUCAGAAUGUUCUUAUCUUCUCAUGCUAAGAAAUCACACAUUAUCUAAUGAUUAUUUUACAUGGGAAGUAUAUAAAAGCAACAAUAACAGCACAAAAGCAUGCUGAAAUAACAAAUAUAUAGCAAUUCUAUUAGUAUGAUAGGUUAAGGAUGUGUCACAGGUACACCACAUUAUGCACAUACAGAACACAGUCAUGACAUUAACACACAUAGGUGACAUCAAAAAAUAAUUGGGAGAAAAGAGAGCAAUAUUAAUGAGCAUCAACUUAAAGGCCCCUCUAGAAGCACAUUUUUUAAAUGAAUCCAUUGAUUCAUGAAUUUAACCAAGAAAAAAGCAUAAACAAUAAUAUUAAUAAAAAAAAAGAAGUGUAAAAACAUACUAGUUUUGCUUUUCUUUAGCUACAAAAUUACCAAGGAAAAGAACAUGACUGAUGAGAUACAUGCUUAAAUGUUAAUCCAACCAAGAAUACAAUACAACUCAACUAAGCUUUCAUAUCAAAAAUUUGAGGUCGG